CUAUAACCAGCUUUCCCAUGUCUCUGGCUCUCUGUUAGGUACCCUUCUGCUUGAAGAACUUUUCCAUAUUUCUCAUAAUAUAUCAUUGGCAAAGAAGCAAUUGAAACAGGAUUUCCUUUUCUUGAUUUCAAGAUCUCAAUGAUUUCCAACUCCAACUUCUCAAGUGACCCUGGUGAGAAAAGCUGAUCUUCAUUGUUAGCAUCAAAUGUUCGAGGAAAGCUCUCCGAGACUUGUCCAUGAUAGUACCUACAAUUACUUCCAUGCUUACAAAAACCCUUGUU
rnacentral:misc_RNA from 1 species